rfam:Butyrivibrio fibrisolvens 16/4 draft genome.
AAGGUCCGAUGAGUAGUCGCUGCCUGGUGGUAAUAGCCAGGGAGAGGAAAGUCCGGGCUUCACAGGGCAAGGAUGCCGGCUAACGGCCGGUGGAGGUAACUCCAAGGAUAGUGCAACAGAAAUAUACCGCUCAUAUGAGUAAGGGUGGAAAGGCGGUGUAAGAGACCACCGUAUUGUUGGUAACAACGAUAGCCAUGUAAACCCCAUCCGAAGCAAGUUCUAAAAUGCGCGUACGCGGCCCGCCAGCGCAAGGUUGAACGCUUGAGGCUGUUGGCAACAGCAGUCCUAGAUAGAUGACUACUUUAAAUGACAUAACCCGGCUCACAGUCGGGCCUUUUUA